GGGGAUAUGGUGUAGGGGUAUCACGUCUGCUUUGCAUUGUUUCGAGCUUCUUUCGAACGACGGCAAUUUGCAGAAGGCCCGGGGUUCAAAUCCCCGUGUCUCCA